rnacentral:rRNA from 1 species
UACGAAGGGGGCUAGCGUUGCUCGGAAUGACUGGGCGUAAAGGGCGCGUAGGCGGAUGGCACAGUCAGAUGUGAAAUUCCCGGGCUUAACCUGGGGGCUGCAUUUGAUACGUGUUGUCUAGAGUGAGGAAGAGGGUUGUGGAAUUCCCAGUGUAGAGGUGAAAUUCGUAGAUAUUGGGAAGAACACCGGUGGCGAAGGCGGCAACCUGGUCCUUGACUGACGCUAAGACGCGAAAGCGUGGGGAGCAAAACAGGAUUGAGAAAC